AAACCACAGCCAAGGGAACGGGCU
rnacentral:ncRNA from 5 species